rnacentral:rRNA from 1 species
AGAACGAACGCUGGCGGCAGGCCUAACACAUGCAAGUCGAGCGCGCCUUCGGGGUGAGCGGCGGACGGGUUAGUAACGCGUGGGAACGUACCCUUUGGUAGGGAAUAGCCACUGGAAACGGUGAGUAAUACCCUAUGAGCCCUUCGGGGGAAAGAUUUAUCGCCAAAGGAUCGGCCCGCGUUAGAUUAGGUAGUUGGUGGGGUAAUGGCCUACCAAGCCUACGAUCUAUAGCUGGUUUUAGAGGAUGAUCAGCAACACUGGGACUGAGACACGGCCCAGACUCCUACGGGAGGCAGCAGUGGGGAAUCUUGGACAAUGGGGGCAACCCUGAAUCCAGCCAUGCCGCGUGAGUGAAGAAGGCCUUAGGGUCGUAAAGCUCUUUCGCCUGUGAAGAUAAUGACGGUAGCAGGUAAAGAAACCCCGGCUAACUCCGUGCCAGCAGCCGC